rnacentral:lncRNA from 1 species
UCUUUUUUCAACAACCAGAACCACGGGAGGGCCAGCGGUGAACGUCCACACCUUCCACCCCAUGAAGAAGGUCCACGCCUUCCACCCCAUGAAGAAGGUCCACGCCAUCCACCCCUUGGCGAAAGUCCACACAUUUCAAUCCAUGCUGAAAAUCCACCCCAUUUUGAAGUUCCACACCCACCACUCCGUGAUGAAAGUCCACGCCAUCCACCCGCUGGCGAACAUCCACACUAUUUAUUCCUCACUAGAGUCCACCAUGAAAAUCGACCCCGUCAUCCACGCUAUCGUUUAGUCGGUACCCAUGGGUUUGCCAUCAGGCCACCUGUGCACACUGGUAACUGGAAAACCGUCUGGGAUGCCAGGACUGGCUUCAUGGCAACCAAGGUACUGGGAAAAAACACCUGCAUCAUAAGCAAAGCUGGCACAGGAUUUAAUGGAUUUGAGGGAGCUAGUUCCUCUGGGUUCCUUCCACCCAUAGAGCAUCGUUACGUGAUCUCAAAUGACAGACUCCUAAACCUGUACCCAUAUGGACCACGCAUUCAAAGGCUGUGCAAAGGAGUUCCCACUUACUUUGCUUACCCAUCUCCUGGAUCAAACUUCUCAGAGGAUGAUGCCUCAUGCAUCACAAAUAUGUUCAACAAUAUGAAGUUCAUUUACUGCAAUUUAUAAACUUCUCCUGAUGAAAUUUUGAGGAAGAAAAUAAACAGAUCUGUGUACCCA